CACACAAUCACAAAUAAACAGUCACUUCAGGUUGUAAUCAAAUGCUUCUAGCUAGGUAACCGUAAAAUAAGAACAUUCCUGUACGAUAAUAUAGAAGCUAUGAGCAAGCGGGAAGGUGAAGGGUAUCCUCGGAGUUGAAGACAAGUCAGAAAACAGAUGACUGCGACACAGGAGCUAACCUGACAUCACCUGUGAUGGCUGCAUUCAAAGUGUUCCAGCAGGAGCUAGACACCAAACA